rnacentral:lncRNA from 1 species
GUUUGGGGCUAAAGGGAUAGAGGGCAGGGUGCUUAGUCACUUUGGAAUGUUUUAGCAAAAUACAAUCACUGAGUGUCUUAUAAACAACAGAAAUCUAUUUCUCACAGUUUUGGAGGCUAGAAGUACUAGGUCAAGGUGCUGGCAGAUCUGGUGUGUGAUCAGAGCACUCUUCCUGGUGUAUCUUGACAAGAGCACUAGUCUUCUCUGUUACAGCUUCAACGCUUUAACUGUACUUCCAGUGACUCCUUUGCUCUGGUUUCCACUCCUAGAGGGCCACCAGCAGCACGGCACUGGAUAUCCCAGACACAGGCAAUGGUCUCAUGGCUACUGGACGCUCUUCCCAGUUGCUCUGUCACAUGCUUCAACAUCCUGAAUUUAUUCAGAGCAUUUACCUUUCAUGGCCAUUUUGACUUUGGGGAAGAGCCAGAAGUCACACGGUGCCAGAUCCAGUGAAUAGGGUGUAUGAGAACACACCACCACCUUUUCACAAGCCCUCCUCUCUGUCGGCAGCGGUGGUAGUCAGCAGCAGCAUUCUUCUGUUUUUGAUCGUACCUUCUAUAGACACUAGUGAAAGAGGACUUCCAGAACUGCU